rnacentral:rRNA from 1 species
UACGUAGGUGGCAAGCGUUGUCCGGAUUUAUUGGGCGUAAAGCGAGCGCAGGCGGUCUUUUAAGUCUGAUGUGAAAGCCUUCGGCUUAACCGGAGUAGUGCAUUGGAAACUGGGAGACUUGAGUGCAGAAGAGGAGAGUGGAACUCCAUGUGUAGCGGUGAAAUGCGUAGAUAUAUGGAAGAACACCAGUGGCGAAGGCGGCCUACUGGGCUUUAACUGACGCUGAGGCACGAAAGCGUGGGUAGCAAACAGG